GACGAACGCUGGCGGCGUGCUUAACACAUGCAAGUCGAACGGAAAGGCCCUGCUUUUGUGGGGUGCUCGAGUGGCGAACGGGUGAGUAACACGUGAGUAACCUGCCCUUGACUUUGGGAUAACUUCAGGAAACUGGGGCUAAUACCGGAUAGGAGCUCCUGCUGCAUGGUGGGGGUUGGAAAGUUUCGGCGGUUGGGGAUGGACUCGCGGCUUAUCAGCUUGUUGGUGGGGUAGUGGCUUACCAAGGCUUUGACGGGUAGCCGGCCUGAGAGGGUGACCGGCCACAUUGGGACUGAGAUACGGCCCAGACUCCUACGGGAGGCAGCAGUGGGGAAUAUUGCACAAUGGGCGGAAGCCUGAUGCAGCAACGCCGCGUGCGGGAUGACGGCCUUCGGGUUGUAAACCGCUUUCGCCUGUGACGAAGCGUGAGUGACGGUAAUGGGUAAAGAAGCACCGGCUAACUACGUGCCAGCAGCCGCGGUGAUACGUAGGGUGCGAGCGUUGUCCGGAUUUAUUGGGCGUAAAGGGCUCGUAGGUGGUUGAUCGCGUCGGAAGUGUAAUCUUGGGGCUUAACCCUGAGCGUGCUUUCGAUACGGGUUGACUUGAGGAAGGUAGGGGAGAAUGGAAUUCCUGGUGGAGCGGUGGAAUGCGCAGAUAUCAGGAGGAACACCAGUGGCGAAGGCGGUUCUCUGGGCCUUUCCUGACGCUGAGGAGCGAAAGCGUGGGGAGCGAACAGGCUUAGAUACCCUGGUAGUCCACGCUGUAAACGGUGGGUACUAGGUGUGGGGUCCAUUCCACGGGUUCCGUGCCGUAGCUAACGCUUUAAGUACCCCGCCUGGGGAGUACGGCCGCAAGGCUAAAACUCAAAGGAAUUGACGGGGCCCCGCACAAGCGGCGGAGCAUGCGGAUUAAUUCGAUGCAACGCGUAGAACCUUACCUGGGUUUGACAUGGAUCGGGAGUGCUCAGAGAUGGGUGUGCCUCUUUUGGGGUCGGUUCACAGGUGGUGCAUGGCUGUCGUCAGCUCGUGUCGUGAGAUGUUGGGUUAAGUCCCGCAACGAGCGCAACCCUUGUUCACUGUUGCCAGCACGUUAUGGUGGGGACUCAGUGGAGACCGCCGGGGUCAGCUCGGAGGAAGGUGGGGAUGACGUCAAGUCAUCACGCCCCUUAUGUCCAGGGCUUCACGCAUGCUACAAUGGCUGGUACAGAGAGUGGCGAGCCUGCGAGGGUGAGCGAAUCUCGGAAAGCCGGUCUCAGUUCGGAUUGGGGUCUGCAACUCGACCUCAUGAAGUCGGAGUCGCUAGUAAUCGCAGAUCAGCAACGCUGCGGUGAAUACGUUCCCGGGGC
rnacentral:rRNA from 1 species